rnacentral:rRNA from 1 species
CCACGGGUCGCUGCAGUGAGGAAUAUUGCACAAUGGGGGGAACCCUGGUGCAGCAACGCCGCGUGGAGGAUGACGCAUUUCGGUGUGUAAACUCCUUUUAUAUGUCAAGAAAAUGACGGUAGCAUAUGAAUAAGCACCGGCUAACUCCGUGCCAGCAGCCGCGGUAAUACGGAGGGUCAAGCGUUACUCGGAAUCACUGGGCGUAAAGGACGCGUAGGCGGGUUGGAAAGUCAGGUGUGAAAUCCUACAGCUUAACUGUAGAACUGCACUUGAAACUUCUAAUCUAGAGUAUGGGAGGGGGAGAUGGAAUUAGUGGUGUAGGGGUAAAAUCCGUAGAUAUCACUAGGAAUACCUAAAGCGAAGGCGAUCUCCUGGAACAUUACUGACGCUAAGGCGUGAAAGCGUGGGGAGCAAACAGGAUUAGAUACCCUAGUAGUC